UACGCAUUAGCUUAAUUGGUUAAGUGACAUGUUUCAGCCACAAGGAUUGUAAGUUCGAGUCUUAUACACGUAU
rnacentral:tRNA from 1 species